GCGGACUCUGGGAGGGCUCACACCAAGGAGUACUUCCCAGAACUGCUGCCAGUGUCCUUGUCCUCACGGUGAGCCACAGCCACCCCCGGCCUCUGCAGGAGACCCUCCAACACUAGCAGGCAGAUCUCAGAGUCCAGGGAGAGUCUGCAGGACAGAGUAGCAGAGAAAAGAGAGGUGCAAGGAGAGAGAUCUCUGAAGACCUACAGAGGGCCUCCCUUGAGUAUUCAACUGAAUACUGAUCAGCACAUCAUGCCAGGGAACUAACUGAGGCCAGGGAAAGAAUCACUCAUCACCACUUAAAAGGAUAACAGAUGAACAAAUGCCCCAUGUUACUUCAAAAUGCCUAUGUCCUGGAGAGUUUUAUACACUUUAUUUACACUGCCUCAACAAAAUGAUUAGCAAAGAACGGCCAUCAUCAAAAAAUCUACAGACAACAAAUGCUGCAGAGGGUGUGGAGAAAAGGGAACCCUCCUACACUGUU